rnacentral:rRNA from 1 species
AGAGUUUGAUCAUGGCUCAGAACGAACGCUGGCGGCGUGCCUAAGACAUGCAAGUCGUACGGAAAGGCCCCCUUCGGGGGGCACUCGAGUGGCGCACGGGUGAGUAACGCGUGGGUAAUCUGCCUUAGGGUCUAGGACAACCCCGGGAAACUGGGGCUAAUACUGGAUAAGACCACGAGCUCUUCGGAGCUUGCGGAAAAAGAUGGCCUCUCCUUGGAAGCUAUCGCCCUUCGAUGAGCCCGCGUCCCAUUAGCUAGUUGGUGAGGUGACGGCUCACCAAGGCUUUGAUGGGUAGCUGGUCUGAGAGGAUGAUCAGCCACACUGGAACUGAGACACGGUCCAGACUCCUACGGGAGGCAGCAGUCGGGAAUUUUGGGCAAUGGGCGAAAGCCUGACCCAGCAACGCCGCGUGAGGGAUGAAGGCCUUCGGGUCGUAAACCUCUGUCGGGAGGGAAGAACGGUUCACGUUCAAACAGGACGGGAGCCUGACGGUACCUCCAAAGGAAGCACCGGCUAACUCCGUGCCAGCAGCCGCGGUAAUACGGAGGGUGCAAGCGUUGUUCGGAAUCAUUGGGCGUAAAGCGCGUGUAGGCGGCUUGGCAAGUCAGUUGUGAAAGCCCGGGGCCCAACCCCGGAACUGCAUCUGAAACUGCUUGGCUAGAGUCCCGGAGAGGAAGGCAGAAUUCCCGGUGUAGGGGUGAAAUCCGUAGAUAUCGGGAGGAAUACCAGCGGCGAAGGCGGCCUUCUGGACGGUGACUGACGCUGAGACGCGAAAGCGUGGGGAGCAAACAGGAUUAGAUACCCUAGUAGUCC